AGCUAGCAUGGCCUAGUGGUUUGAAUGUUGGACUAGGAAUCUAGAGACCAGGGUUCAAUUCCCAGUUUGGCCA